rnacentral:rRNA from 1 species
GACGAACGCUGGCGGCGUGCUUAACACAUGCAAGUCGAGCGGUAAGGCCCUUCGGGGUACGACGAGCGGCGAACGGGUGAGUAACACGUGGGUGACCUGCCUUUAGCUCUGGGAUAAGCCUGGGAAACUGGGUCUAAUACCGGAUAUGACCUCAUGACGCAUGUCGUGGGGUGGAAAGCCUUGUGCGGCUAGAGAUGGGCCCGCGGCCUAUCAGCUUGUUGGUGGGGUGANGGCCUACCAAGGCGACGACGGGUAGCCGGCCUGAGAGGGCGACCGGCCACACUGGGACUGAGACACGGCCCAGACUCCUACGGGAGGCAGCAGUGGGGAAUCUUGCGCAAUGGGCGAAAGCCUGACGCAGCGACGCCGCGUGAGGGAUGACGGCCU